UCGACCUCUGAUCUUCAAGCUAGAGGGUUUUAUCAAAGUGUCCAAUUUAAAAUGGCAUUUUUUAUAACUGUCUACAAGCUGGAAACAACAACCAAACUGGCUGUUUAUUCAUCAAUCCAUCCAUUUUCUAACACCUUUUACCCAGUGGGGUCAAGAGGGUCACUGGUGCCCAUCUCCAGCCAACGUUCUGGACCAAAGGAGUCAGAGGACAAACCCAGCUGAUUGGACAGAGUGGAAUCCAUGUGAUGAAGACGUUUGAUCAUCAAUCUGCAGCCUCUCUGUCCUUUCUUCCUCACAGCGUCUAUGGUGUCCCGGGCCUUGUCUGCUCUGGUUUGGUUCUUCUGCAGUAUGCCCUCCAGCUCCGAAAGCGUAAAGACCCCAUCCAAUAGAAGGUCAUCCAGGAGCCGUUUCAGGAUUUCCUCAGAAACUCUCUCCACAAAUUCACUGCGAACCUUGAAAAGUUUUUCCUCUGCAGACAGAAACAGAAACAGGAUUCAUUCAAACUGACAUCUGAGAGACAAACAUGGUGGAGACAUGAUCAGCUGUUCAUGUCGCUCCAUCCAGAGAUUCCCCUCAGGCUGUUGAUCAGCUCCUCAGGUCUAAACCUGUUGUUGUGUUUCUGCCUCAUAUCUGAGUGAUGAGCUCUGAUUCUGUCUGAUGAGACUGAAUGAAGCUUCUGGUUCAUCACUUUCUUUCCUCACUGCAGGAAGAACAAUAAAACAAACACCUUCUAAAUA